GACGAACGCUGGCGGCGUGCUUAACACAUGCAAGUCGAACGGAAAGGCCCUGCUUUUGUGGGGUGCUCGAGUGGCGAACGGGUGAGUAACACGUGAGUAACCUGCCCUUGACUUUGGGAUAACUUCAGGAAACUGGGGCUAAUACCGGAUAGGAGCUCCUGCUGCAUGGUGGGGGUUGGAAAGUUUCGGCGGUUGGGGAUGGACUCGCGGCUUAUCAGCUUGUUGGUGGGGUAGUGGCUUACCAAGGCUUUGACGGGUGGCCGGCCUGAGAGGGUGACCGGCCACAUUGGGACUGAGAUACGGCCCAGACUCCUACGGGAGGCAGCAGUGGGGAAUAUUGCACAAUGGGCGGAAGCCUGAUGCAGCAACGCCGCGUGCGGGAUGACGGCCUUCGGGUUGUAAACCGCUUUCGCCUGUGACGAAGCGUGAGUGGCGGUAAUGGGUAAAGAAGCACCGGCUAACUACGUG
rnacentral:rRNA from 1 species